UUGGUUUAUCACUUUGGUCAUCCUUUGUCAAAAUCAAUUUUUAGAGGCUAUCGGAAAAUAGUGAAGAUUGACCUCCAUUCCCACCACUUCAAUUUUAUCGGUUGUCAAAAAUUCUACUUUGUGAUUUUGUUCUUUUUUUCUUUUGCUUGGUAUUUUGAUUCAUACAUUUUAUUGUUUUCAAGUUAACUUCUUUUAUCUUUAAAACAUAACAAUAUCCUCAAAAUCUCAUUUCCUUAUUUCAAAAAUUCAUUUAGAGUUCUCAGAAUCAAAAUCCCAUUCCCUUUAAAAAUUCAUUUCAAAGAUUCCUUUAGGAUUCUUAAAAUCAAAACCCCAUUUUCUUAAAAUAAUAUGCAACCAUUUUUUGAUCGGUUUGCAUCUUUCUCGGUUUUUAACGAAAAUUUUGGUUUGAAAUCAGACACGAAUCAAAGCUUGUGGUCCCACAUAAAUGGGAUAAUUUUGAGCUAAAUUCUUGUAUAUCAAUUGGGGAAUUGGUGAAACCCCUACAAAAAAAAAAUCUUUUCAAAAAUUAUUUUUGUUGCCACUUUUGUCACUUGUUG
rnacentral:lncRNA from 1 species